rnacentral:misc_RNA from 1 species
GGGCAUCUGGCAUUAUUAUCACCAGGAAUUCUUGGAUUUAAGGGCUUAAGGACUAUGUUAUAAAUGUAAACAACCUUAUCACCCUAUAAACAAGUGCCCUAAGACACACCAAGCAAUCAUCGUUAGGGAGGAUGAAGAGGUACCCCCAUACAUUAAAGGGGAAUCUAUCAAUAUUCCACCAUCAAGCGGCAUUCUUUCCAAUGUUCAUGAAGGCCAUUUCACCCAAUUGGACCUCCCUCUUUAUUUUAUUACAGGGAUUUCCAGACCUUGCAUUGUGAAAUUCCAUGGAAUGUUGAAUGGGAGAUGGUUGGCUGUAAUGAUGGAUAGUGGCGCUAGCCACAAUUUCAUUGGGUUUUUUCUUCAAGUAUUAUAGUAUCGCAGCCCGUGGUACAAACUGUGAGGGUGUAGAAGAAGGGCCCAAGACCUGACGUCCGGGGGCACGGCAAUGACUGAUCCCACAUCGAAAUGGGAGACAGAGUUAGUAGUGCUUGUAUUGGGAAGUCUUGAUCAACUGAGUAGCGCUCUUUUGUGUGUGAAAAGCCCAAGGGACAAAUCUGUAAGGCUUAUGGGGGCCAAAGUGGAUAAUACUAUCCAGUAGGUCGAGCCUUACAG